rnacentral:rRNA from 1 species
GGGUUAGUAGGUUGGUCGUGCCUUUGGUAUGUACUGGCUUCACUGAUUCCUCCUUCUUGAAGAACUGUAAUGUCAUUAAUUUGGUGUUGCAGGGACACAGGACUGUUACUUUGAAAAAAUUAGAGUGUUUAAAGCAGGCUAACGCUUGAAUACAUUAGCAUGGAAUAAUAAAAUAGGACGUAACGAUCCUAUUUUGUUGGUUUCUAGGAUUGACGUA